rnacentral:rRNA from 1 species
AUUGAACGCUGGCGGCAGGCCUAACACAUGCAAGUCGAGCGGUAGAGAGGUGCUUGCAUCUCUUGAGAGCGGCGGACGGGUGAGUAAUGCCUAGGAAUCUGCCUAGUGGUGGGGGAUAACGUUCGGAAACGGACGCUAAUACCGCAUACGUCCUACGGGAGAAAGCGGGGGAUCUUCGGACCUCGCGCCAUUAGAUGAGCCUAGGUCGGAUUAGCUAGUUGGUGAGGUAAUGGCUCACCAAGGCGACGAUCCGUAACUGGUCUGAGAGGAUGAUCAGUCACACUGGAACUGAGACACGGUCCAGACUCCUACGGGAGGCAGCAGUGGGGAAUAUUGGACAAUGGGCGCAAGCCUGAUCCAGCCAUGCCGCGUGUGUGAAGAAGGCCU